rnacentral:rRNA from 1 species
GACGAACGCUGGCGGCGUGCUUAAUACAUGCAAGUAGAACGCACAGUUUAUACCGUAGCUUGCUACACCAUAGACUGUGGGUUGCGAACGGGUGAGUAACGCGUCGGUAACCUGCCUGGUAGCGGGGGAUAACUAUUGGAAACGCUAGAUAAUACCGCCUACUAUUGAUUAUUGCAUGAUAAUUGUUUGAAAGAUGCUAUUGCCUCACUACCAGAUGGCUCUUCGUUGUAUUAGCUAUUAGGUGAGGUAUUGGCUCACCUCGGCGAGGAUACAUAGCCGACCUGGGAUGGUGAUCGGCCACACUGGGACGGAGACACGGCCCAGACGCCUACGGGAUGCAGCAGUAGGGAAUCUGCGGCAAAGGACGAGAGUCUGACCGAGCAACGCCGCGAGAGUGAUGAAGGUUUUCGGAUCGUAAAGCUCGGUUGUAAGAGAAGAACGGGGGUGAGGGUGGAAAGUUCACACUGGGACGGUAACUUACCAGAAAAGGACGGCUAACUACGUG